rnacentral:rRNA from 1 species
CGGCGGACGGGUGAGUAACACGUGGAUAACCUACCUAUAAGACUGGGAUAACUUCGGGAAACCGGAGCUAAUACCGGAUAAUAUAUUGAACCGCAUGGUUCAAUAGUGAAAGACGGUUUUGCUGUCACUUAUAGAUGGAUCCGCGCCGCAUUAGCUAGUUGGUAAGGUAACGGCUUACCAAGGCAACGAUGCGUAGCCGACCUGAGAGGGUGAUCGGCCACACUGGAACUGAGACACGGUCCAGACUCCGUACGGGAGGCAGCAGGG